rnacentral:precursor_RNA from 15 species
GAGCAGUGCCGCCCCAUGGUACUUGGAGGGAGGUUGUCCGUGGUGAGUUCGCAUUAUCUAAUGAUGCCCAAUACACGGUCGAUCUCUUUUCGGUAUCACAUCUCGCCAAGGCGUCUG